GAUUAACGCUGGCGGCGUGCCUAACACAUGCAAGUCGAGCGGCAGCGCGUUUUACACUGAAUUCUGGAAGCUUCUAGUUGAAAGAGAAGAUUUAUUCAAGAAUUUUGUGUAAAAUGUCGGCGAGCGGCGGACGGCUGAGUAACGCGUGGGAACGUACCCCAAAGUGAGGGAUAACGCAUCGAAAGGUGUGCUAAUCCCGCAUAUGGUCUUCGGAUUAAAGCCUUCGGGCGCUUUGGGAACGGCCUGCGUAAGAUUAGAUAGUUGGUGGGGUAAUGGCCUACCAAGUCGACGAUCUGUAACUGGGUUGAGAGGAUGAGCAGUCAGACUGGAACUGAGACACGGUCCAGACUCCUACGGGAGGCAGCAGUGAGGAAUCUUCCACAAUGGGCGAAAGGCUGAUGGAGCAACGCCGCGUGAAGGAUGAAGGCCUUCGGGUUGUAAACUGCUUUUAUAAGUGAGGAUUAUGACAGUAACUUAUGAAUAAGGAUCGGCUAACUACGUG
rnacentral:rRNA from 1 species